rnacentral:lncRNA from 1 species
UUUCAUGAUUCUGGCUGGUCAAAUCAAGGCUAAGUUCAGAUUUCGCUAGGUUGCAUAGCAUGACAAUAGCAGCAAAACGCGAGCCUGAAACAUCGUCCUCCGUUACAAAUCCAUGGUAUCCAUGAAUUUCAAUCGUCCCUUUCACGCCACGUGAAACGUUGCUUCUUUCCUGCUCCGCGUUUUCUAGUGCUUGCCGUUACCUGGCACGAGGAACUCCCCUCACAUUGAGCCCAGCCUGACCCACAUGGGUUAUUGGAACAUUCACAUACACCGAUGUCGGGGAGCAAUCCUUUACAAUUAGGGACCAAAGUCCCUGUCUUAAGUUCU